AAUAUUCACCCCACAGCUCGGCUGUAGUAGCCCGAUACGGGAACUGCGCGGACGUAAUUCUCCUGUCACCCGACAGAUGGCUCUGUCCGCGUCCGCAUAGGAGCGCCAGUUCAAAUUGUCAGCUGUUGUAAAUGUGUGUGGUGUGUAUCUAAAAUCAUAACGGUCAACCGCCAAACGGCUCAACGAAAACGAAACGGCAACGGCAAGCGCAAGCUGUUGAGUGUUGAUCGUUAACAGUGAUUUGAAGGUAAGUGGUGAAUUAUUCAUUCAAUCAUUUUGACGUCGGCCCCAUGGGGGGGUUGAUCGAAAGGAUGAGAUUCGCAAGAAACCAAAGGCCGUUAAAAUCGAAAAGAAAAACAAAGCAAUAGGAUUCAAGAAAGCCCCCCAAAAGCCUCCAAAACAAGCCUUGCGAUAUUUUAUUGAUGUAAGUGGAUUAAGGGAUUAUUUUGAAGGAUGAAAACAAACAAUUGGUUUAGAGACUAGAUGGUUUAUUAUGAAAACUUAAAAGUUGAAUACAAGAAAUAGAGUUAA